rnacentral:rRNA from 1 species
GUGGGAGAGCAACUGAAACUGAUUAACUAGAGUGCGAUAGGGGUAGAGGGAAUCCCCAGUGUAGCGUUGAAAUGCGUAGAUAUUGGAAAGAACACCAGUGGCGAAGGCGCUCUACUGGGUCGCAACUGACGCUGAGGGACGAAAGCUAGGGGAGCGAAAGGGAUUAGAUACCCCUGUAGUCCUAGCCGUAAACGAUGGACACUAGGUGUUGGGCGUAUCGACCCGUCCAGUACCGCAGCAAACGCGUUAAGUGUCCCGCCUGGGGAGUACGCACGCAAGUGUGAAACUCAAAGGAAUUGACGGGGGCCCGCACAAGCGGUGGAGUAUGUGGUUUAAUUCGAUGCAACGCGAAGAACCUUACCAGGGCUUGACAUCCCGCGAACUUUGCUGAAAGGCGAAGGUGCCUUCGGGAACGCGGAGACAGGUGGUGCAUGGCUGUCGUCAGCUCGUGUCGUGAGAUGUUGGGUUAAGUCCCGCAACGAGCGCAACCCACGUCCUUAGUUGCCAGCAUUAAGUUGGGCACUCUGGGGAGACUGCCGGGGACAACUCGGAGGAAGGUGUGGAUGACGUCAAGUCAUCAUGCCCCUUACGUUCUGGGCUACACACGUACUACAAUGCUACGGACAAAGGGCAGCCAGACCGCGAGGUUGAGCUAAUCCCAUAAACCGUGGCUCAGUUCAGAUUGCAGGCUGCAACUCGCCUGCAUGAAGGCGGAAUCGCUAGUAAUCGCAGGUCAGCAUACUGCGGUGAAUACGUUCCCGGGCCUUGUACACACCGCCCGUCACACCAUGGGAGUUGGCCACGCCCGAAGUCGUUACUCUAACCAUUCGUGGAGGAGGGUGCCGAAGGUGGGGCUGAUGACUGGGGUGAAGUCGUAACAAGGUAGCCGUACCGGAAGGUGUGGCUGGAUCACCU